AUCUCCUGACCUCAGGUGAUCUGCCUGCCUUGGCCUCCCAAAGUGCUGGGAUUACAGGCAUGGGCCACCACACCUGGCCAAAAAAAAAAAAAAAAGAAUUUUCAGAGUCUAAUAUUAUCCCAAAGAAGAGCUUCACUUUCUGACAGGCAUGGAUAUUCUGGGAACCCUGAAGGUGUGCUGCAGCAUGGGGAGUAGGUGCUCAUCAGCAUCACCAGGGUCUCUGUUAAACGGAAUACUGUGUAUGGAUAUCAAUCCCAGAGGAGAAUUCUGUGCCCCAAUUAACAAUCGCAGAGAAGAACACCCCACCAACUUCUACCACUACUAAGGUUCCUAGAUCUGGUAGUUUUCUAGAUCCAGCAGGAGGGUUUGCCCAAAUCCAGCUGCUAGUAUUUGGUGAGACAGAGCACUUGCACAGCAUGUCAGGCAAAGCAGCUUUCAUACACCCAGACAGGCACCAAGGGUCAACGAAGUCUUGGAUCCAUGAUGUCCUGGCCCCACAAGGCUCAGAGGCUGACCAGGGUGGAUGCGGUCUUAUCUGUACGUGCUCCACUUUACACCUGAUACAGUUUGGAUAUCUGUCCUCUCCAAAUCUCAUGUUGAAAUGUGAUCCCCAAUGUUGGAGGUGGGGACUAGUGGGAGGUGUUUGGUUCAUGGGGGUGUACUCCCAUGAAUGGCUUGGUGUCCUCCCCAUGGUAAUGAGUGAGUUCUCACGCUAUUAGUUCACAUGAGAUCUGGUUGUUUAAAAGAAGCUGGUGCUGGCCGGGCGCGCUGUCUCAUGCCUGUAAUCCUCGUGAUCCACCCGCCCUGGCCUCCCAAAGUGGAUGUUGGUAAUUAGAGGAUUCCACAAAAUGUGGUAGAGAAUACCCAGAAACAUACCCAUCCUAGACUCUUAACUGUCCUUACCCUCCCAUCCAAGCUUUUCAGAUUAACUCCUUCUAAUGUGUCAAGAUUAAACCGAAACCUUACCUAUUGAGAAUAAAAAUAGACAGUUAUCAAGGAGCAAAAACACUCUUUAAACAAGCUCUGAAGGUUGCCUUAAUUGGGCUUAGUUCACAUCCCAAGAUAAAAGUAGGAUCUGAUCUUUGUUAUCACCUGAAAUAUUCAUCCAUGGCUACAUGAAUGAAGGGGGAGGCAAGACCAGUUCUGCUGUUUAGAUACAGGUUUCCAAAAUAAUUGUACUGUUCAAACCACACUUACAGCCUUAUGGUCACAGGGACUCGUUCUUACAACUAAAUUUACAUAUAAAUUCCUUUUGCAGAACGGCUCAUCUGAGAUAAUAAGUAAGGUAACUUUAGAUAAAGUUAGGUAGAGGAAAGAGAAAUAGAAAUACAACUUUAAGAAGAAGUAUGAAGAAAAGCAAGACCUGACUCGAUGAUUUAUAUAACUGGAUGAUGGUGGGGAACAAAGUGCUAUAUUUACAUCCCAUUGACUAUUGUAAAAUGCUGUCAGAGUUUUGUUUUAAAGUCAGUAUUUACUUAAUUCUUAUUUAUUUGUUUGAGUCAGAGUCUCACUCUGUCGUCCAAGCUGGAGUGGUGCUAGGAUUACAGGCAUGGGCCACUGUGCCCGGCCUAAGGCCAAUACUUAGAAGACACUGCAAAUUAUACCCUUAAGAAGGAUUUAAUCUUUUAGAACUUGUAGUUAUUAAUCUAACAAUGAGUGUGUAAGGCAGAGGAGGGUGGGAAGGGGACACAUAGGUUUCUAAAACUCUUCUGGAGGUACCUGACAAAAAAAUGUUUGGUGACAGCCAUUGUGGGAUUUGGAGGCUUAAGUGGCAGAAUCUGUCCUCAGUUCCCUAGACCUGCAUGCUGCAGUACAGUAGCCACGAGCCACGUGUGGCUGCUGAGUGCCUGGGACACGGUUAGUCUGAAUGAGAUGUGCAGGAAGUACAAAUGUAUACCAGGUUUCCAAAACUUUGUAUUAAAGAAAAAAUAAUGUAAAAUAUCUCAAAUUAUUUUUAUAUUGAUUACAUAUUAAGUGAUAUUUGGAUACAUCAAGUUAAAUAAAACAUGUUAUCAAAAUUAAUGUCAUCUAUUUCUUUUGUAUGUGGCUCCUAGAAAAUUUUAAAUUACAUAUCCUCAGAUGGUUUGCAUUGUGGUUCCUGUGAUAUUUCUAUUGAAUAGCACUGUGUCUAAAUGUUUCCCAGACAUCAGAAAUCCCUGCAGCUCUUUGAGAUUUUUGCAAUAUCUGUUAUUACUGAUGGUAAUAUUAUGGAAUUGUGAAUUUAUUAUUUUUCACUUUAUACUGACUGACAUUUUAAAGUUAUUUUAAAAGGAAGCUAUAUCUGUGGGUUAUGGCCAGUCCCUUGCAAGGCGCUGGGGCCUGGGCCCUGGACCUACUCCGGGGCCUGCCAUGUGUGAGCCUGGCCAACUGCAAGCCAAAUCCUGGCUCCAAGAAACCACAGAGAUGACCAAGAGGUUGGAGAAGAGGUAGAAAAUGUGGCAGAGGCCAUAAAGGACAAAGACAAAGAGGAACCCGGCCCCGCCUGGGCUUUGAGGGAGGCCAGACUCCAUUUUACACCUGAAUCCCAAAAUAGGGGUUUAAUGAAGGACAUAGCUUCAGACACCAGGAUAAGCCUUUGUGUCUCAAUAGACUGCAGUAUCUUAUUGAUUUGGGUCGUGUUGAUCCUACUGAACCUAUUGACUUAACCCAGCUUGUCAAUGGGAGAGGUGUGGCCAUCCAGCCAAUUAAAAGGGAUUAUGGUGUCCAGCUGGUCAAGGAGGGUGCUGACACCUUUAGGGCAAAAGUUAAUAUUGAAGUACAGUUGGUUUCAGAACUAGCUAUUGCUGCAAUUUAAAAAAAUGGUGGUGUUGUUACUAUAGCUUUCUAUGAUCCAAGAAGCCCGGACAUGAUAUGCAGACCUGUUCCAUUCUUUCUUCGUGGACAGCCCAUUCCAAAGAGAAUGCUUCCACCAGAGGAACUGGUACCAUAUUACACCGAUGCAAAGAAUUGUGGGUACCUGGUAGAGGCUGCCAAAUUUCCCAAAACGUGACUUGAACUUGCCAGGAAGUACGGUUAUAUCUCACCUGGCAUCAGUAAAGAUGAACUCUUCAAAAUGCCCAGUACUCGGAAGGAUCCAAGGCAGAUUUUCCUUGGUCUUGCUCCAGGAUGAGUGGUGAAUAUGACCGAUAAGAAAAUCCUAAAACCUACAAAUGAAAAUCUCCUUAAGUAUUAUAGCUCAUGGAUACCCAUCCAAGGAAGCAGAGUUGUUAAAGAGUACUGGAAUAGGGACUGAAAGAUCUGUAUUCCUCAUUGCAUUUUCCUAUGUAUAAUUUUCCAGAUGGUGACGUUACUUUUCAGUGUACUCAUAUCUCUCAUUUUCAUCUAAAAUUAAAAUGGCAGGAAACAAGGACUACA